GCCAGGCAUGGUGGUGCAUGCCUGUAAUCCCAGCUACUCAGGAGGCUGAGGCUGGAGAAUCGCUUGAGCCUGGGAGGCAGAGGCUGCAGUGAGCGGAGAUCACGCCCCUGCACUCCAGCCUGGGCAACAGAGCGAGACUCCGUCUCAA
ensembl:misc_RNA Metazoa_SRP Metazoan signal recognition particle RNA